rnacentral:rRNA from 1 species
UACGGGGGGGGCAAGCGUUGUUCGGAAUUACUGGGCGUAAAGGGCUCGUAGGCGGCCAACUAAGUCAGACAUGAAAUCCCCAGGCUCAACCUGGGAACUGCGUCUGAUACUGGAUGGCUUGAAUUCGGGAGAGGGAUGCAGAAUUCCAGGUGUAGCGGUGAAAUGCGUAGAUAUCUGGAGGAAUACCGGUGGCGAAGGCGGCAUCCUGGACCGACAUUGACGCUGAUGAGCGAAAGCUAGGGGAGCAAACGGG